rnacentral:rRNA from 1 species
UACGGGGGGAGCAAGCGUUGUUCGGAUUUACUGGGCGUAAAGGGCGCGUAGGCGGUCAGCACAAGUCAGUUGUGAAAUCUCCGGGCUUAACUCGGAAAGGUCAACUGAUACUGUGCGACUAGAGUGCAGAAGGGGCAACUGGAAUUCUCGGUGUAGCGGUGAAAUGCGUUGAGAUCGGAAGGAACGCCCGUGGCGAAAGCGAGGUCCUGGACGUUUUCUGACGCUGAGAUGCGAAAGCCAGGGGAGCGAACGGG